CCACCUCCACUCGAACAGAAGUUGUUUGCUGUUAGGUUACGACCAACAAAUAACUAAAUGUCAACCGAGAAAGAAAAAUAAAAAAAAACAACCAUAAACCAACAAAAACAGGCCGCUGGAUUUUUAUGGGAUCCAAGAGUCAAUCCUAGCCACACGUCUGUGAGGGUUAAAAAAACAAGACAAGCUGCCAUCAUUGAUGGCUAGCUGUUAGCUUUUAAGGCGAAGUGACUAAAAUGAAUAGUCAAGAGACUUGAUUAGAGCAGCAGGUAUCGAUUUCCAACAAAACAUUAAAAUCAAAUAAAAACAUAGAGAAGCAGCAAAAUAGGAAAGGACAUUCAUACCAAUCUCACUCCCUCACGAGAAAUCCAAACUAUCACAACGAAAUCCACUGGCCGUUGAGAAGGUAGUGCUUAAAACUCUCUUCCUAAUGCUCUAUUGUUGGUCGGUUCACCCUCCUCCUGAACUCGCUCACUUGCCUUGCCUUUUCACCUUCAACUCUGCGCCUUUGUUGCCAGUACUGAAGCGGUUUCGAGUGAUAAAGCUUAAUCUCAGGUCGGUUGCCUUCCUCAAGUGGUUGCUCCACGAAUAUUAUGAAAAUGUGGAGCUUUGAGUGACGUUCGGCAUACGUUUCUGUAGGGCAACGCUUAGGGUUUCAAAGGUCUCUAGAGCUCAAAGAAGGAAAUGCCAAAACACUUUUUUGUGUUCAGUACUGGAUUGGCCCUCUUUGAAGCUGCAAUUCGGAAAGGUACUCUUAAAGCAAGCUUUCUCUAAUCGCUUUUGCCUUAAUCCCAAAUUGGGAAAUUUCUGGAUUUUAAUGCUUUGCUGUUAAUCUUUUGUUACCGCAGUGAAAAAGGUUGCAAUGGUGAAAACGUGAUUUGGUUUGGUCUUUGCAGGUUAUGGCUGGUUAUUCGGCAUCACAGAUGCUUCACUUUUGUACCUACUCCGCCAACGGACCCGAGCGGUUGAUGGAUCAUAACUUUAGAAUUCGACAUACAAUAUCUCUUCCCUUUUGUUCCUGUAGCAGGGAGAAAUGCACCCAUGGAUGCUGCAAGUCCCAAGCAAACUGUUGACACGUCUGCGUUGCAUAACUUCAUGGCAUCAUAAAUUCCCAUUCCAGCAGUAACAGAAUCACCAGGUGAAUUUGUAAACAACUUGAUGUCUUUCUUAGGGUCAUCAGCAUUCAAAAACAAAAGCUGACUGAUUACAAAAUCUGCAGGUUACAUCAUCCAUCUGAGAACCCAAAAAGACAAAUCUUUGACGGAGAAACAUGUUGGUAGUGUCAAGAGUGUCGUUAGCAGUCAGACUAGCGAGAGCAUCUAUUUUGGUGAAGUGUUUUGCAGGUUCAAAGAAAAUCACGACUUGUGCCCAAAUGUGCUUUAAGGCAUAGUUCACUUGCAGCUUGACAUAAAUGCCGGAAAAAGAUGCAGGGUCAUGUACUGUCAUUCCCAUUGAACAAUUUACUGUCAACAUCUUAGUUGGAACUCCAGUUAUGUCUGACCCUUCCUUACACUUUUAUGUGAUUUUUCCUUUUAUUUCUACUAAUAAAUCUUUGAAUCUUCAUUUGGCAUUUGGUUUUGGGUACUGCUGCUGAUGAUGGAGCUGGAAGCAUUCCAACAGAACUUUGCGGAAGACCGACAGUCCUUGUUGGAUAGAUGAUGGUUUGAAGAACGGUGCAUCCGCUUUGAUCCACAAUGAUUUCCACCGUUGAAUGAAAAGUUGGCGGAACUAAUCCGACAUUGCAGGGCAUAAACGGUUGAAAAGAGUUUUAUCUGCUUGUGUUAAUUCAUGGAAAGUCCGGAUUGCUUUAGGUAAUAUCCUCUCUGAUUCACAUUUCUUUUUUUCACUUUCUGCUGUUUUCUUCAUUUCAAACUCUAGCUGUUUGCA